GUGUCAGCAGCCGCGGUAAUACAGAGGGUGCAAGCGUUAAUCGGAAUUACUGGGCGUAAAGCGCGCGUAGGUGGUUUGUUAAGUUGAAUGUGAAAUCCCCGGGCUCAACCUGGGAACUGCAUCCAAAACUGGCAAGCUAGAGUAUGGUAGAGGGUGGUGGAAUUUCCUGUGUAGCGGUGAAAUGCGUAGAUAUAGGAAGGAACACCAGUGGCGAAGGCGACCACCUGGACUGAUACUGACACUGAGGUGCCUAACCCUGGGGAGCAAACAGCAUUAGAAACCCGGGUAGUCC
rnacentral:rRNA from 1 species